GACGAACGCUGGCGGCGUGCUUAACACAUGCAAGUCGAGCGGUAAGGCCCUUUCGGGGGUACACGAGCGGCGAACGGGUGAGUAACACGUGGGUGACCUGCCCUUAGCUCUGGGAUAAGCCUGGGAAACUGGGUCUAAUACCGGAUAUGACUCCAUAACGCAUGUUGUGGGGUGGAAAGCCUUGUGCGGCUAGGGAUGGGCCCGCGGCCUAUCAGCUUGUUGGUGGGGUGAUGGCCUACCAAGGCGACGACGGGUAGCCGGCCUGAGAGGGCGACCGGCCACACUGGGACUGAGACACGGCCCAGACUCCUACGGGAGGCAGCAGAGGGGAAUCUUGCGCAAUGGGCGAAAGCCUGACGCAGCGACGCCGCGUGGGGA
rnacentral:rRNA from 1 species